rnacentral:lncRNA from 1 species
UAGGUUCAUGAGCAUCACCUAUGUGGAAAAGACCCCAAACUCCUCUUCAGAUGUGCAUGAUGCAGAGGUGCACGUGCCACAGCCUUCCCCAUAAGAAGUCAGAAGACCACUCUGGAGCCCGUGCUCAUGCCAUCUUCAUCCGGGUUACAAGGAUUUCACUUAGGUGGCCAGAUUUGCAUGGUGCAGGGAUGAAAACUGUAUACACCCAGAUGCACUUACUUUCUUGGAACAGGCUUGCUCACUAAACUUGGAGCUCCCUUUUCUCUGGCUAGAGUGGUGGCCAGCAAGCCCAGCCACACGCCUCCCCGCUUCACCCAGCGCUGAUGGUCCAGGCUCAAACAGCCGCGUCUGGAACGUGAGUACUGCAGAUUCACACUCAGGUCCUCCUACUUGCACAGGACAUGAUCUUACCCACUGAAGCACCUCCUAACUCUUUCUCCACCAACGGAAGAAAUCAUUAAGUUCCCGGAACAAAGAUGGUCUGGCGUCCUUGGCACUGAGUGCAGCAGACUGAAUUGUGUUCCCAAGAAAAAUACAUCAAAGUCCUAAUCCCCAGGAUCCGGGAAUGUGACCUUAUUUAGGAAUGGGACUUUGUAUCCAUUCAGUUGAAGUCAUCCUGGACUCCAGCAUGCUGUCAUCCAAUGACUCACACAGUUUAAUUUGGACCCAGACAACAUGAUGCAGCAGUGGAGUCACCGGCUGGCAUU